GAAUCAGGUGUUUUUUUUUCUGUCUUUCAGAACACUAUCAUAGAGUUAAGCGAGUGAAAAGCCAAAGGAAAUGGCUGCUCAAGAAAAUUACAUUUAAAUGGAGUGCAUUGGUUUCACCAAUCUCUUAAAGGUUCCUGGAAAUCUUUAAGAUUCUCAUGCCUGUGAGGAACAGCCUAGCCUAGAAAGAAGACCUGUUUGGCAAGUGGGAGACUGAAUUAGAGGAGCAGCACCAUAUGCAGGAACAGAUUCACUAUUGCAGAGCUCUAUCUCCAUUUUCCCUCUUCUGAACAUAUCCCUUUACUCUUCUGCCACAAGGCUAUCAGAUCCAAGCAGAUGCCAGCCUCCUGAACUGUGAGUCAAAUCUCUUUUCUUCAUAUAAAAACUAGCCAUGCUCAGGUAUUCUGUU
rnacentral:lncRNA from 1 species